GAAUGUGCCAACAUGAAUGAGCUGUGAGUGCUCUUCAGGGCCGGAAGCCUGAGUGCCUUUGUCAGGGGAGCACAAGCUGUGUCUCAGCAGUUACUCCCAGACAAGUUACCACCUACCGGGUCCUCUUGCUUUCCUGCUAAUCACCUCGACAUGACUUCAAUUUGACAGAAAGCACUCCAGUUACCCUAACCCAG
rnacentral:lncRNA from 1 species